AUUGAACGCUGGCGGCAUGCCUUACACAUGCAAGUCGAACGGCAGCACGGGAGCAAUCCUGGUGGCGAGUGGCGAACGGGUGAGUAAUACAUCGGAACGUGCCCAGUGGUGGGGGAUAGCCCGGCGAAAGCCGGAUUAAUACCGCAUGAGACCUGAGGGUGAAAGCGGGGGAUCGCAAGACCUCGCGCUAUUGGAGCGGCCGAUGUCAGAUUAGCUAGUUGGUGGGGUAAAGGCCUACCAAGGCAACGAUCUGUAGUUGGUCUGAGAGGACGACCAGCCACACUGGGACUGAGACACGGCCCAGACUCCUACGGGAGGCAGCAGUGGGGAAUUUUGGACAAUGGGGGCAACCCUGAUCCAGCAAUGCCGCGUGCAGGAAGAAGGCCUUCGGGUUGUAAACUGCUUUUGUCAGGGAAGAAAUCCUCUGGGUUAAUACCUCGGGGGGAUGACGGUACCUGAAGAAUAAGCACCGGCUAACUACGUGCCAGCCGCCGCAGUAACAC
rnacentral:rRNA from 1 species